rnacentral:ncRNA from 1 species
ACAGUACAAACUGAACAGACCGUAGCGCAAGUUAUGGAGUCGGGUUACAUCAGUAACAGUGGAAUUUACACCCACGGGACAGU